CCAGACUCCUACGGGAGGCAGCAGUGGGGGAUAUUGCACAAUGGGGGAAACCCUGAUGCAGCGACGCCGCGUGGGUGAAGGAGCGUUUCGGCGCGUAAAGCCCUAUCGGCAGGGAAGAAGGAGGACGGUACCUGACUAAGAAGCCCCGGCUAACUACGUGCCAGCAGCCGCGGUAAUACGUAGGGGGCAAGCGUUAUCCGGAUUCACUGGGUGUAAAGGGAGCGUAGACGGCCAUGCAAGCCAGGAGUGAAAGCCCGGGGCCCAACCCCGGGACUGCUCUUGGAACUGCGCGGCUGGAGUGCAGGAGGGGCAGGCGGAAUUCCUGGUGUAGCGGUGAAAUGCGUAGAUAUCAGGAGGAACACCGGUGGCGAAGGCGGCCUGCUGGACUGCGACUGACGUUGAGGCCCGAAAGCGUGGGGAGCAAACAGGAUUAGAUACCCCUGUACAU
rnacentral:rRNA from 1 species